GACGAACGCUGGCGGCGUGCUUAACACAUGCAAGUCGAACGAUGAAGAAGAGCUUGCUCUUCGGAUUAGUGGCGAACGGGUGAGUAACACGUGACUAACCUGCCCCUUUCUCUGGGAUAACGCUCCGAAAGGAGUGCUAAUACCGGAUACUCACAUCGAGGCACAUGCCUUGAUGUGGAAAGUUUUUCGGAAAGGGAUGGAGUCGCGGCCUACCAGCUUGUUGGUGAGGUAACGGCUCACCAAGGCGACGACGGGUAGCCGGCCUGAGAGGGCGACCGGCCACACGGGGACUGAGACACGGCCCAGACUCCUACGGGAGGCAGCAGUGGGGAAUAUUGCACAAUGGGCGAAAGCCUGAUGCAGCGACGCCGCGUGAGGGAUGAAGGUCUUCGGAUUGUAAACCUCUUUCAGUAGGGACGAAGCGAAAGUGACGGUACCUAAAGAAGAAGUACCGGCUAACUACGUGCCAGCCGCCGCGGUAA
rnacentral:rRNA from 1 species